AUUGAACGCUGGCGGCAUGCCUUACACAUGCAAGUCGAACGGUAACAGGUCUUCGGAUGCUGACGAGUGGCGAACGGGUGAGUAAUACAUCGGAACGUGCCUAGUAGUGGGGGAUAACUACUCGAAAGAGUGGCUAAUACCGCAUGAGAUCUACGGAUGAAAGCAGGGGAUCGCAAGGCCUUGUGCUACUAGAGCGGCCGAUGGCAGAUUAGGUAGUUGGUGGGAUAAAAGCUUACCGAGCCGACGGUCUGUAGCUGGUCUGAGAGGACGAUCAGCCAGACUGGGACUCAGACACGGCCCAGACUCCUACGGGAGGGAGCAGUGGGGAAUUUUGGACAAUGGGCGAAAGCCUGAUCCAGCAAUGCCGCGUGCAGGAUGAAGGCCUUCGGGUUGUAAACUGCUUUUGUACGGAACGAAAAGCCCCGGGUUAAUACCCUGGGGUCAUGACGGUACCGUAAGAAUAAGCACCGGCUAACUACGUGCCAGCCGCCGCCGUAA
rnacentral:rRNA from 1 species